AGCCGGAGAUGCACCUGCAAACAAGGCCGCGCGCAACUCCCCCGGGGCGGCACUUUAGGCGCAAAGCGGUGUAAUUGGCUUAAGCGCACCGACGUGCUGUUUGGGGGGGGGAGAGAGAGACAGAAGUGGGGACCCGUGAAGGGAGGAGGGAAACGGGAAAAUACUGCCCCCCUCCUUUCCUCCAACCCCCCUCCCUCCAGUGGAGAAGGGGAGGGGCGAGGGGGGAUGCCAAGAGAGAGGCGAGCGCAGCCCCCUCUCUGCUUGGAUUGGGAAGAGCAACCUGCGCCUAGGGCUGGCUGGCUUUGCUCGAGGGGGUGGGUAGCAGAGGCGACCCCUUUCACUUGGUGGCCGCUUCUGGGGUUGGGGGGGCGGGCAACAGGAUGUACCCCAUGUGUGCCUCUUUGCCCCCCUCCCACAGAUCCCCGUCUGCCUGACCAUCUCCCCAGGCAGCUCCUGGGGGCAGUUUCGCCUUCAUUGCGCACGGGCUUUCCCCGCUCCUUUUUGGCCCCGUCCCCGCGCCGUCCAGCAGCCCCGAGCCUCCGUGUGAAUGAGUCACUCCGCGUGACGCGCGCGGCCCCAAUGAAUAGCGAGGUCGGCCAGGCGGCUCGGCUUGGCAAGCGGCCCAGCCGCCUAAAAUCUGGCAACGGAAUUAAGUCAAAUCCUUGAAACAAACAAAUGUCUCAAAUCAGCAGGCGAGAACAAGGGAUGAAAAUGUGCCAUUAAGGAAAUAAAAGAUAAAAGCACGAAAGGACAAACUGCGUUUGAAUAUGAUCACACUGUAAAUUAAAGACGCAUUGAAAUACAAUACAUAGGGGAUGAAUUGCUACAGAAGACAUAACCUUUUCUUGGGUCUUGGAGAAAAAGAGGGCCAGGGGUGCGGGAAGAGACGCUCCUGCCUGCCAGGCUGAUGAUGGACUUCUCCGAUCCUAAAUAGCUCCCAUUGCGAUGAAUGGGUACCAUGAUGCAGUUGCUUAAAGCCCCAUUCAUUUCAGUGAAGCAUUUAUGAGUCUCGUUCAUUUAUGGGGACCGGGGGUGGUUUUGGCAGGGUGGAGCCCACUCCAUUUAGGAUCAAAGUACCGCUACACAGCUGAAACUCUGGACACCUUUUCAGUUUCACCAUCGGUAACAAUUCUCACAGAUUUCAAUGAGUGUGACUUCCAGUCUUUAGGAUUGCAGCAUUGCUUGCUUCCACGCUCCCGCCCUUAAAAAAACAACGACAACCACCCUCAGGUGGGUAUAGGAUGAGGUGGCAGCUCUCUUUGAACUUCCUUCUAGCAACCGGAUCCUGAAACACGCAUAUGUGGAAGUAAACGCUAUGGAUUUCAAGGUAGAGCUUAACUGAAAGCAAAAUAAAUAAAUCAUUAAAUAAAUGCCGUGUGUGUGGGCGCGCGCGUGUGCAUAGCUUAAAGGACCAGAGAAACCCCCUUUCCAUUAAUUGACCAAAAGUGCGUAGUUCCUCAUCCCUUUAAAGCUCCAGAAAUAUAUUACACCAGAACAGAGAUAGGGAAAUAAAAUAGCUGUUGUUUUGUUACUACUACUAUUAAUACUAAUUUUUAUUAUUUAUUCUUAUUUUGAUUGGAACACUUUCGAACAGCGUACAAAAAGUUCCCAACUCAAACCUGAACUUAAAGCUUGGUUUUGUGCAAUAAAGUUUAAAUAUAUUUUUUUUUAAGUUGUCCGCUUGCAAACCUUAAGCAGAAAGCACCAGCAAAGGAAGGAUGCCCGGACCCCACUUUGUGGUGGUUGUGAAUUCUCUGCUCAGAGGUCGAUGAGAGAUUUGUGUGUGACUGUUGAGACCGAAGGUACAACUCUGGGCGAAGUCACAGCGCCUCCUGUUGACCGGCCACAACCUCAAGCGCGCACACCUGUUUUUUUGAGACGCAGCUGCUGGACGGAAGGAGGACCCGAUGCCCGGCCAUCCCAAGCGAUCGGCAGGUUUGCUGCUCAGGCUUCAACGGGACGCGAGUUCCGCAUGGCUCCCGGAUGCGAGCAAAACUAAGCGCGUCGCCCACUGCGGGAACAUCCCUCUCCCGGCUGCAUACCAGACGGCACUUGAGCCGAGAGGUGGGGGGGACGCAGGCACGGUGUUCCUGUGUCUGGAGGAUCCCUAGCAAAGGGCGUGUGGACGAGCGUUUCAGCGCUGCUGCAUUUCUCCUGCACUAGGAGAAAGCGAGGAAAUGGAUAAUCCCGAGGGAAAGAAUCCAUGCGGGGAGUGCGGUGGGGAAUAUCUGUCAGCCCAUUGCAGCAAAAGGAACAUACCGUAAUAAAAAAUA